AACGAACGCUGGCGGCAUGCCUAACACAUGCAAGUCGAACGUGAUCUUCGGGUCUAGUGGCGCACGGGUGCGUAACGCGUGGGAAUCUGCCCUUUGGUUCGGAAUAACAGUUGGAAACGACUGCUAAUACCGGAUGAUGACGAAAGUCCAAAGAUUUAUCGCCGGAGGAUGAGCCCGCGUAGGAUUAGCUAGUUGGUGUGGUAAAGGCGAACCAAGUCGACGAUCCUUAGCUGGUCUGAGAGGAUGAUCAGCCACACUGGGACUGAGACACGGCCCAGACUCCUACGGGAGGCGGCAGUGGGGGAUAUUGGACAAUGGGCGGAAGCCUGAUCCAGCAAUGCCGCGUGAGUGAUGAAGGCCUUAGGGUUGUAAAGCUCUUUUACCCGGGAUGAUAAUGACAGUACCGGGAGAAUAAGCUCCGGCUAACUCCGUGCCAGCCGCCGCUGUAA
rnacentral:rRNA from 1 species